CCUAAAGAGUUUCUUUUUUUCCUGCCCUUGUUCCCUUUAUCACUUACCUGUAUCAUCUUGUAUUGAAGCUCGGUGUGCUCUUUUGUUGUGCCCUUAAAGAAAGCAGUGUGUAUGUAUUCUUAUGAGUAUUCAUGGUCAUGAAGAGUAUCUCCUAGAGAAGGGCAUGUGGCUCCACACCAGGAAUUUCACUUCUUGUUGGGAAGCUUGGAAUGGAAAUAAAAUGCUGGGCUGCAAAGUUAUUUUGUGGGCUGAAUAAAAUGGAAGUGACCCAGCGCUAAUAGCACUUAAUGGACUGUGCUGUGAUCAGGUUGGAUGUUCCAAGGGGUCUUUGAAUCCCUGUGACAGGAGAUACAAGUCAUAAAUUCAUCAAUCUUGCCCUCUGUUUAUGACUUGCUCUUUGUGUGGAGAAUCCUGUAUUCAGACCCUUACCAAAGAAAACCCAUCCCUGGGCCUUCAGGUGGUGAAGCACCAAUAGAUCACAAGUUACAGCAGCUUUUCUUCUUCAUAUUUUAUAUAAAAUGAGUUGUUUCUGAAAGCUGAGGAGAUGUUCCUGGUAUGGAAGCAUUUACUUGGUCAUAUUUGAACCGGCUGGAGUUUGUGCUAAAAGCUUAAGGAGUAUGAUUUCCUGAGGAGCACUGCAUUGUAUAAAGGCCAAACCUAAGGCAUUACUGGGAUUCAGAGUGAUGAGAAGGAAAUGGGAGCUGCAGGGUCCUAUUCUGCAGGAUCAGACCCCAAGAUAUAACUGCAAUAUUCUCAUGCUGUUCUGUGCCCUUUCAUAUAUGGGAACAAUAACAGUUAUCAGCCCUUUGCUGAUAUUAGAACUGUGUAUUUUGCAUGGGUACCAUGUAAUUUUUUGUGCAGAAUUUAGGAGGUUAUGCUGUGCAUAAUACUUGUUAUCAAUAUAAUAACUUUUAUUGUUAUAUACCCAAGUGUUGUGAUUUUGUUGUAGUAAAAUGGUAUAUCUAUGUAUUUCAUCAUAGGAUGGUUGUAAGGGACUUAAAGCUCAUCCAGCUCCAACCCCCUGCCACAGGUAGGGACACCUUCCACUAGAGGAGGUUGCUCCAAGCCCCUGUGUCCAACCUGGCCUUGAACACUGCCAUGUUUUGUAUUUGCUCUAGUCAGAAACUGGAAAUUGAAUGGGAACAGCUCAAUUUGUGCUGUGUUCAUUUCACAACAGAAAACAUCAAAUCUGGCUUGGUAUAAAUAAUAAUCUCUAGUACUGACUGCCCUUAUGGCUUGAAUUUUCCUGGACUGGAGGGUACAUUCUGAAGUCUAUAAACUGAGGUGGCUUUUACAAGGCUUUUGGAUGAGCCCCUGUUUUCAUUGUCCGUGUGCCUUGUUUGCAAAGAGCAGAAAAGGCAAAGGAUAAAGCCUGAGCUCCUUCCGAGACAAUACAUGAUCCUUCUGGUGAAAACAGAGCUCUAAAAAGGCCCUUGUGCAGACAGGGAAGAACUCCUGUAAUCUUGAGCCCUGGGUACUUGUAAACAUCCAUUGCUAAUGAGCCUUACUCUUCUCUGGAAGGGAUCAAACACAUUUAAUGCUUUUCAUGAAGAUGCCUAAUAAGGCACAGUUGAAUGAAGCAAAGCUGUCAGUGGAGCCUUCUGUUAAGUUUCUUAGUAUGAAUGAGUCAAAACCCCAAGUGUUGUCUGAGCUCUCCUCCUUGGCUCUUUGGGUUUGGUAAAGAUUCGUGGUCAGUAUUAGCCUGAUUUUUACUCUCAGUUAGGAGACCUGUUCUUGCUGUGUGAGCCCACUGAAUUGUAGACACAGAAGAGUGCACAGAGUGUGUUAAGGCAACAGGAAUUACACUCCUGUUGUUGUUCUGGGGGCUGUUGUGACAGAGGAUGUUUUGUUGAAUGGCAGGUAAGAGGUGUAUUGUGGAGGCAGCACAGCAUGUGGCUACCUUCAAAGGAGACUCAGUGUAUGUUGGUCUUUCCUCCGCUUAAUUAUUCAAGUGGGUAAUUUGGUUUGAGGGCAAAAUGUGUGCCUAAAUGAUGUUAUUCCAAAUAGCAGCAGCAAAGAAUUCCUGCAUGUUAAGGGAUGCCAAUUAAGCAAGAAUAAUUGUGAUUAUUUUCUUUUAAAGUAGUGCCAUGCAGCCAUCUGCAAAAGAGCGCGAAGAUGAGGGAGCCAGGAAGAUACAAUAUUGAAACCCGAGUAUAUUGGUGAAAAAAAGGGUUGUGUUGCUGGCAGAAAUCGCAAAGAAGUGUUGAGCUAAGUGUGGCCAAAAUACUUUCUUGUAGAAGGUGUGUCUUGCUGGAAAGAUAAAGCUUUUCUUCAAUAAACUAUGGUUGAUUAUUGAAAGUAAUGUGAACUCUGUCAAAAUAUUAUAGUUUCAUAGAAGCAUGGAAUGGUUUGAGUUGAAAGGGACCUUAAAGCUCAUCCAGCUCCAACCCGUGCUGCGGGCAGGGACCCCUUCCACUGGAGCAGCUUGCUCCAAGCCCCUGUGUCCAACCUGGCCUUGAGCACUGCCAGGGAUGGGGCAGCCACAGCUUCUCUGGGCACCCUGUGCCAGCGCCUCAGCACCCUCACAGGGAAGAGCUUCUGCCUUAUCUCCAACCUGAACUUCCCUUGUUUCAGUUUGAGCCUAUCACCCCUUGUCCUGUCACUACACAAUCCCUUGUGCUUUUCCUGAGCAGUCAGUUUGGUGUUAAGGGAACUGUUCCCAUUCCUGUCCCUUCGGUUGGAGAAGAAUUCACUGAGCCUCCUGGAACAGUUUUGUUGCUUGCAGGGAUGUUUAAUGCAUUAACAUAUAAUUUAAUGCAUUCUUAAUUAACUGCUAAUGUAUGGGGGGAAAUCUUCAAAGCUUUUGGACUGAAUUACAACUUGCAACUCCGUGUGGUAACGUGUUAUGUGACGUACAGGUUAGGUGUCAGCAGGGUUUCAACAUGUCCUAGUCACCUCCUGGCUCUCCUCCUUGUCCCUGUGGAGUCAGAGGACUGGACCAGUGGCGUCACGUUAACUCCUGAAGCUAUGAGUAAGAUGUAGAAUGCAUGUUUAUGAGGAAGCAGAUCGUGAUAGACGUGUGUGUGAACACUUUCACCUCAGCCUGCCUGCGAGUACAGGAAGUUCAGCAGCAAGUCUGGGUAAGCACAGACCUGUGUCUAGAAACACUUCCAGGCUCGUUGGGAAAUGAGUAAGUUGGUAAUUGGCUGGCCUAAUGGGUGUCAGUCAAAUGCAGGGCUGGGUACAGUUGUUUAGGAUGUGGGCAGAGAGUAAGUAGUGCUGGUUUAACUUGAAAGUAGAGUAAGUAGGGUUGGUUUAACUUCAAACUCUUUAAUGGCAAUAAUGACUUAAUUUUUCCCCAUGGCUAUGGGAAACCAAACUCUUUAGUGACCAAAACUAAUGGGACAAACCAGUUGGUCAACAGUUAUCGGUAGUUAUAAUAGUGGUAAUGUUGCUAGUAUAAUAAUAACACCGACUAUUGCUCAUAUAAUUAAUAAUAGCACUUAUUAUUGCUCUGUGGCACCAACGGAUGAUCUGCUUGUGCCCUUCCUUUUGCCAGGUUCAGAAAUCAAUUCUCUUGCUGUUUUGGGGGUUGGCUCUAGGUAAGGACCGGAGGGCUCUAAAGCUCAGCUUGCUCCUUGCUGUUUGAGCCAAUGUGCUCGGAUUGUGCUCCGAGCAAUCAGUGGUCUGAAGCCCAGAGAUCCUUGGCCUGCAGAACUGAGGGUGCUGUGUACCAACAGCAGAGCUGCCCGCACCAGAGCACAUGAAGAAUCAUGCUGCCUCUCCCCCUCAGCGCUUGGAAGCCUUGAAACGUUUCCUCUCUGAAGGAGGUUGGGGUUGGGAAGAGGAGUUGCGGCUGCAGGAGCGCUUGGGCAGUGCUCUGAAGCUGCAUUUGCUGUUUGCUUCCUGAGUUGUGAACAAGCUACCAGGAUCACUGAACAGGAGGGUGGGUAUCUGCAGUUUCACCCCCCUUUUGAGAAGCAUUUAGUCAUGCAGCUAAAAGUUUCCAACCUGCUCCCUUGAGGGAGUGCAGGUGGUUUUUUAGGCAUCUGAGCAAACGGCAUUGAAUGCAAGAUGAUACGAAUGUGUUUUGUAUAACCAAGUUUUGCCUUUAGAAAGUGAAAUUAAUGACAAUUCAGCUGAAGGAUGGAACUUUCCAUGUUCUUUGCACAGCCUGUAGCAAGAUCAGUCUGCUCUUCUUUUCUGUAGAGAUUUAGCCUCUGCUUUUCAAGCUAUUUGCAGUCACAGAAAUGAGAGAGAAAACUAAAAUAGGAACAUGCUAACAGCAAGAUAAUGCCAAAAUAAUACCCAAAAAAGACAAAAUAGCUACUUCAGCAGAUAACACCAGCGGAUGUUUCAAGUCUAGAUUUAGCAUAUGAAUUUGCAUAUCUGUUCCAUAGCAUUGAACAGGUCAGAGCUGUUGGGCUGACAGUGGGGUUUCGCUGUGGCUAGAGCCUGUGAGCGCAUCUAGGAUGUGCUGCUGUGCUCUGAUGUUUGAGACGUGAGGGGAUUGAAGUCCUAGAUUGAAGUCUUAAUUGUAGAGUUCCAGUUUACAGCUUAUUAGAUGUAGGGUUAUUACAUACUCAGGUUUAUUAGGGUUGUUCCCUUGGCUGACUUAUUGCAUACUUGAGUUUGGAUCAUCAUUUAAGCGCAUGAUCAUAGAAUCAUAGACUGGUUUGGGUUGGAAAGGACUUUAUAGAUCAUCUAGUUCCAACCUCCCCUCUAGAUAUGCCUAGAAAUUGGGGGGCAGGGAACAAUGAUUUGAGCUUUAGGCUUUAAUUACAGCAUACCUGAAGCUCCAGGAAUGAUGUAGGUGUCUGAGGUGGUUUAUGGACAUGGUGGAUACAAUCACAGGCUACAAAACGCACGUUCUUCUGCCUUCAUUUUUGAAGCCCUUUGAUCUGUGCCUAUGGAGUACGUGCCUGUGGCUUCACUACUCUUUUGUUGUUGCUUUUCCUUGGAAAUGAUUUCUUAUUUCUUGCCUAGAAAUCAGCCAUAGGUAUUUUUAAAGGCACUUCCAUCUGGUAAUUACUUCUUUACGUAGAAGAGCCAUUGGUCUGCUUUGAUGUACAGCUGAGAACCUAAAUCUUUCUUCUAAAGCAUUGUAUUCUCUCCACUGGAAAAGUGCAGUACACUUGUGGACUGUCUCUAGGUAUCCUUUCUGUGAGGAUAGUGUGUUUUAAGGGGUUGAGUCACCUACAAGAGGUCUGUGCCUAGGACCGUGUGGCCCUCGUUGAAUUAAAUAGUAAGUCAAAGCAAUUUCAGUAAUUCUUUGUAAUGCAGGAUUAGGGAAGAGAACAGAUAUUUGUAUGUUAAAGCUUAUCUUCUGGUGAGUGCUUUUCCAAAGAAUUUCUAAUUCAAUGAGUUAAUAAAUGUUCCUAUAAAAGCAAAUGUAA